GAUCCUGCUCAGGAUGAACGCUGGCGGCGUGCUUAACACAUGCAAGUCGAGCGAAGCACUUAAGUUCGAUUCUUCGGAUGAAGACUUUUGUGACUGAGCGGCGGACGGGUGAAGUAACGCGUGGGUAACCUGCCUCAUACAGGGGGAUAACAGUUAGAAAUGGCUGCUAAUACCGCAUAAGACCACAGUACUGCAUGGUACGGUGGCAAAAACUCCGGUGGUAUGAGAUGGACCCGCG
rnacentral:rRNA from 1 species